CAUGUAUAUUUACACAGAAAUGUCUGUUGUCACAGAAAAAUGUUUAUUUGAAAAAUAAAGAUAUAUCCUACUGAUUCCUCAAAAUUACUGAAAAACAAACUGUGUCCGUUUUCGUUUUUUCCAUGUCUUAAAAUCCAUCAUAAUGAAUGUAAAUCACCCCCAAAACAAAAGAACAACUUCAAAACAAACCCAUCGAGUUGAUCAGUUUACAGAUGAUGUGUAAAUUCAUUUCAGUUUCAAACAAAAGCAAUUAUUAUUAACAGCAACGUAAACCAGAACAUCGUUAACAUAUUGGUUCCAUUCAUAAUUCGGGUUUCGUUCCAAAUUAUUUCCGAUAUAUGAGCAGUAGUUACUAGGUAAGAAUUACUGGCCAUGAUUUUUUUUUAUUCGACUAAUCUAACAUUUUCAAUAAAAGUUUGACAGUCAUUAUUAUAAAUAGCUACAGCUAAGCCGUACGAACACAACACAACUUUCGAAACGUUGGCAUCCUUCAUACUGUAAACCAAAAGUAACGACUUUAGUCAUCUAGAAAUAUUAGUUUGAUUGUGUGAUUUUGCGUGUCAACAACCACCAAACAUUUGGCGAGACUAUUUCACGCUAAAUGCAGAGCGACUCUAGUUCAGCUAUUAAACUACUAUUUUGGCUUUUAGCUAGCUAGCAUCUCACCUCCAGCGCUUGCUAUUUCGUAAAGGAAAACAAACCAGACAGUUCUAGUAACCAUUAAAAGGCACAUCAUGAAACAAGAUGAAACAAUAGCUUGGCUGAAGACCUUCGUUUUACAUACAAACGUACAGAUCUCGACAAAGAGCGGAAAACGCAAACGUAAAACUAUCGUAUAAGUUAGAGUGGAAAACUAGAAGAGACCCAUCUAUAUUUACAAAUGUGCAAAUGUGUACAGAAAUCAUACACUGGAUUAAAAACAUCAAAUGAGGUUUUUGCUGGCUUUUGAAAUUAAACUGUGUUCGCAAUGUUUGUCCAGAGUAUUGACAAUAAAGGAAAUUAUGUUACGAUAUGUUAUGCUGUACUAUUUUUAUUAUAACAUUUCACAGCUAAAACUUCAGAAUCAGAAAGAGCUUUAUUGCCAAGUAUGCUUGCGCAUACAAGGAAUUUGUUUUAGUGACAUAAGCUUCCAGUACACAAAAGACAACAACACACAGUCAAAAAAAAUAAAAAAUAAAAACCCUUUGCAGAUAAAUAAGUGUAUAAACAAUUGUGCUAUAAAUGAUAAUGGAAUUGGAUUGAGUAAGAUGCAGGGAUGUACUAGGAUGAAGGGGUAACAAAUAAAUAUAAGGAUAUUGCACAUUUUUUAUUGUAUAAGUGGGGAACAUUUAACUGUUCAUGAGGUAGAUUGCCUGGGGGAAGAAACUGUUCUUGUGCCUGACUGUCCUGGUAUUUGCGGCUCUGAAGCGCCGGCCAGAUGGCAAGAGUUCAAAGAUGGGGUAACUUGGGUGUGAG
ensembl:lncRNA